AGGGUUUGAUCCUGGCUCAGGAUGAACGCUAGCGGCAGGCUUAACACAUGCAAGUCGAGGGGUAUAGUAGCAAUACUAGAGACCGGCGCACGGGUGCGUAACGCGUAUGCGAUCUACCUUUUACAGAGGGAUAGCCCAGAGAAAUUUGGAUUAAUACCUCAUAGCAUAGCAGCUUCGCAUGAAGUCACUAUUAAAGUUCCAACGGUAAAAGAUGAGCAUGCGUCCUAUUAGCUAGAUGGUAAGGUAACGGCUUACCAUGGCUACGAUAGGUAGGGGUCCUGAGAGGGAGAUCCCCCACACUGGUACUGAGACACGGACCAGACUCCUACGGGAGGCAGCAGUGAGGAAUAUUGGACAAUGGGCGCAAGCCUGAUCCAGCCAUGCCGCGUGCAGGAAGACGCAUCUAUGGUGUGUAAACUGCUUUUGUACGGGAAGAAACACUCCUACGUGUAGGAGCUUGACGGUACCGUAAGAAUAAGGAUCGGCUAACUCCGUGCCAGCAGCCGCGGUAAUACGGAGGAUCCAAGCGUUAUCCGGAAUCCUUGGGUUUAAAGGGUCC
rnacentral:rRNA from 1 species